rnacentral:rRNA from 1 species
UUACACAUGCAGUCGAGCGGGGGAAGGUAGCUUGCUACUGGACCUAGCGGCGGACGGGUGAGUAAUGCUUAGGAAUCUGCCUAUUAGUGGGGGACAACAUCUCGAAAGGGAUGCUAAUACCGCAUACGUCCUACGGGAGAAAGCAGGGGAUCUUCGGACCUUGCGCUAAUAGAUGAGCCUAAGUCGGAUUAGCUAGUUGGUGGGGUAAAGGCCUACCAAGGCGACGAUCUGUAGCGGGUCUGAGAGGAUGAUCCGCCACACUGGGACUGAGACACGGCCCAGACUCCUACGGGAGGCAGCAGUGGGGAAUAUUGGACAAUGGGGGGAACCCUGAUCCAGCCAUGCCGCGUGUGUGAAGAAGGCCUUAUGGUUGUAAAGCACUUUAAGCGAGGAGGAGGCUACUUUAGUUAAUACCUAGAGAUAGUGGACGUUACUCGCAGAAUAAGCACCGGCUAACUCUGUGCCAGCAGCCGCGGUAAUACAGAGGGUGCGAGCGUUAA